UCAUAUAUUUGCAAACAUUUUCCAAGUCAUCAGUAUAAAUAAAAAUAAAAAAUAAAAAAACGUAACAUUUCUGUUAAUGAUUCAUUUGGUUCCAAUUACCUUUUUGUUCAUUGUUUGCUCUGAGGCACCGUUGCCAAUAAAGGUUGGUGAAUUGAAGUACCGGUAGGCACUUUACACAUCCACUGAAGAAAAUAGUUCCAAAACAUAUUUGAAUAAGGAGGACAACGAAAUGUAUUUAUUUACAUUGAGAACUUUUGCUACAUCGGUUUUACAUUUGUUAAACCGAUGUAGCACUCUCAAAAAUUAAUCUUGUGUUUCUUGGAAAACGUAAAAUGACCCGCGGAUGGAUAUGCGGUUUCAAAAUCAAGCCUGUUCUCUUCAUCAGUCCGUUGGCGCGGAGUCUGCCUGUUGGCUGAUCUACGAAAGAAUCUGGGUUUUGUCGCCUCAUUCGAGAACUCACCAGUGAAUACCUGCGUGCUCGCUCCGCCGAUUCCACUGCCUCCACUCCACCCUUCGAGCUUCCAGCUCUCUUCCAUUCCCACCUCGCAUUUACCUUCGGAACCGCUGCACACCCUCUCUCAGGAACCUGGCAUCUCACACCCACGCCUCGAAAGACCCGCACCGAAGCUUCAAGAGGAUCAGCGUGUGAAGAUCACUUUAUAAUGAUUUGAAAAAGGUUGCCAUGGCUACAGAAAUUGGAGGAGCAUCCUUAGAUGACACAAUACAACCAGCUGUGCGAUUCCUCAUGUCCCAUGAACUGGAAGUCCAGUUCAACCUUUUUGGCCAACAUUGGAAACAAGCUCUUGGACCUGCGUCUCUUUGAUGUUUUGUAUGGGGACUUAAAAGAAAUUAUCCAUCUACAGAAUCACACAAGCAUACAGCAAAGACUCUCGAAGUGGUUUACUGGAGCCCGAGUGGAAGUGGAAAUAGACUAGAGAGACUGCCAGUUCAAACUCAGGUUGGGGAGGUCUUUCAAGAUGGACAGUUUCAGUAAAGUAUGAGAGAUUUCAAAUUUAAGCAUGCAUAUGGCAUGUAGGUUAUUUUUAAAAAUGUUUAACAAAAAUGUAUUGUGAAAGAUCUAUAUAGGUGUGUAUAUUCACAUUGUGUGUAUCAAUGUGAAUAUACGUGUAUAAAGUUAUAUAGAUAGUAUUUAGAUGUAUACAUUUAUAGACCUGUAGGAAAAUAUGUAGGUGUCUUUAUUUGUGUGCAUCUAUAGAUAUAUAUUUAUAGAUCUGUUUAUAAGUUUGUUAUAGUAAA